GGCACCGUGGCUUAGUUGGUUAAAGCACCUGUUUAGUAAACAGGAGCUCCUGGGUUCAAAUACCAGAGAUGCCG